CUGGGGUGAGCCGCGCACUGCCUCGCCUGCAGUCGGGAAAGCCUGCCCGCCCGACCUCUCCGAGCCAGGCCGCGCACAGGAGGCAGGGAGGCCGCGAAGCUACUAGGGAGGGUUCCGGACCUGGGGCCGGGUGAAGGCGCGCCGCCCAAGCCGGUCGGACCGGGCCCCGGCUCCCACCCCGCACAGUUGCGGGGAAGCGGUAGCGCUGGGCAACGCGGGAGUAGUGGGCGGGGUCCAAGCUCCCGAGGCACCCGGCGCGCAGCGGGGCGGGCCUUGCCGGGGGCGGAGCUUGGCUUGGGGCCGGGUGGGAGGGGGCGGGCCGGGGCGGGGCCUGGUGGCUGCGCGGCGCUGCUGGGUGCUUCGAGGCGACCUGGCCGCCGGCCGCUCCUCCGCGCGCUGUUCCGCACUUGCUGCCCUCGCCCGGCCCGGGGCGCCGCUGCCAUGCGGCUGGCGCUGCUCUGGGCCCUGGGGCUCCUGGGCGCGGGCAGCCCUCUGCCUUCCUGGCCGCUCCCAAAUAUAGGUGAGUCCUCGGCCUGGAGAGGGUCGGGGGGCGGACUGGGAGGGAGGUGCAGGAAAGUCGGAAGGCAUUAGGGUAAUGGGGCCGGACGGAGACCCUGGGAGAGCCCAGCCAGAGCGCGGCCCGCCCUAGUCCGCUGUCCUGGGCCUAGGGCCCGGUGACUUGGCGAUGGGGUGAAGAGAGAAGGAGGGGGGAUGCCGGCGCCCCCUGCCCCCUGCCUGGUCAUCCGCUGCGCGGUCCCUGCGGACAAUUUCAGGCUCAGGUACCAGGUACCGAGGGGCCUGUCCAGCGCCACUUCAAGAUCGUGAUGAGAGGGUCGCUGCUCCCCAGGACUGGCAUCUUCGCUGCUCUGGGGCCUAGCUAACCGUUCCACCCCGUGCCAGGGCGCUGAGCGGGCAUGGCUUGUAGGGUUUAGUGAAGAGGAUUCUCUCUAGCCUCUAUUCCUGGAGCCGCCAGGCACUCCUCACCCUGGUGCUGUUGCCACCAGUGCCUGGCCGAGCGGGAGGGGCCCGAGAUGAGACAGGAGAAGGGAGAAUUGGCCAGGAAAGAGGCUGGGACACCAAAUCCUCCUUGGAACUUUCACUUCCCGCUGCUGUCUUGGGCCGGGACCGUGAGGGCAGACGCGGGUGGAGUGUCCGGAGGAGAGAGGGCCAUUGUGUGUUGGGGGGGUGGGGGGUGCUCGAGGAGGAGGCAGAGGCUGUAGGCAGCGGGUGUGCCUGACUGGGCAUGAGGGUGUUUAGGGAGGUGGGGGUGUUUGCAUUGCUCACCCAGAAAUGGGCGUUCCUGGCAUCUCCGAUGUAAGCGAAGGGGAGGGUGAGCGGGCACCCGGCCACAAGGCUUAGCUCAGUCUCGAGAGGGGGCGUUCCUGAAGGGGGGGGAGAGUGAUUGGGAGGGAGUGGGAACAGGGGAGGGUCCCUGUGAGAACCUGGGAUUGGCCGGAAGGGGACAAGGAGGGCCACAGGCUGAGCAAGCCGAAAGUCUUUCUUGGGGACUUGUGAAUGGGUUGGUGGGUGGAAAGCCAUAAAUUAGAGAGACACCCCCUCCUUCCAGUAUUCUCCUUUAAGUCUCAGCAUGCAAUGUGGAAGCCCCUCAGGUACCUAAGGGCCUUGAUGGGCUGGGAGCUGGUGGAUCUGAGGGCACCUGCCACCCCCAGCCCUGCUGUCGAUUCCCUCAGUACUGUCUUGGGGUGUCCUGGGACCUGCAGGUGGCACCGAGGAGCAGCAGGCAGAGUCAGAGAAGGCCCCGAGGGAGCCCUUGGAGCCCCAGGUCCUUCAGGACCUCAAAAAGGUGCUUCAGACCAGUCUGCCUGAGCCCCUGAGGAUCAAGUUGGAGCUGGACGGUGACAGUCAUAUCCUGGAGCUGCUACAGAAUAGAGAGUUGGUCCCAGGCCGUCCAACCCUGGUGUGGUACCAGCCCGAUGGCACUCGGGUGGUCAGUGAGGGACACACUCUGGAGAACUGCUGCUACCAGGGAAGAGUGCAGGGAUAUGCAGGCUCCUGGGUGUCCGUCUGCACCUGCUCUGGGCUCAGAGGCUUGGUGGUCCUGACCCCAGAGAGAAGCUAUACCCUGGAGCAGGAGCCUGGGGACCUUCAGGGUCCUCCCAUUAUUUCGCGAAUCCAAGAUCUCCACCUGCCAGGCCACACCUGUGCCCUGAGCUGGCAGGAAUCUGUAUACACUCAGACUCCACCAGAGCACCCCCUGGGACAGCGCCACAUUCGCCGGAGGCGGGAUGUGGUAACAGAGACCAAGACUGUGGAGUUGGUGAUUGUGGCUGAUCACUCGGAGGUGAGCCUGCUGGCCCCUGCACAUGCUCCUCCCCCUGCACUGCCCCGCCGCCUUUCGUGUCACCUCUCUUGGCCUACAGGUCCAGAAAUACCGGGACUUCCAGCACCUGCUAAACCGCACAUUGGAAGUGGCCCUCUUGCUGGACACAGUGAGUGCUGGACAGGGCAGCCCCCACCCCAGGCCCCUGACCAUGACAACCCCUCUUCUGAGCCCCAGCUGUCUUUCAGUUCUUCCGGCCCCUGAAUGUACGAGUGGCACUAGUGGGCCUGGAGGCCUGGACCCAGCGUGACCUGGUGGAGAUCAGCCCAAACCCAGCUGUCACCCUCGAAAACUUCCUCCACUGGCGCAGGGCACAUUUGCUGCCUCGAUUGCCCCACGACAGUGCCCAGCUGGUGACUGGUACUUCAUUUUCUGGGCCUACGGUGGGCAUGGCCAUUCAGAACUCCAUCUGUUCUCCUGACUUCUCAGGAGGUGUGAACAUGGACCACUCCACCAGCAUCCUGGGAGUCGCCUCCUCCAUAGCCCAUGAGUUGGGCCACAGCCUGGGCCUGGACCAUGAUUUGCCUGGGAAUAGCUGCCCCUGUCCAGGUCCAGCCCCAGCCAAGACCUGCAUCAUGGAGGCCUCCACAGACUUCCUACCAGGCCUGAACUUCAGCAACUGCAGCCGACGGGCCCUGGAGAAAGCCCUCCUGGAUGGAAUGGGCAGCUGCCUCUUUGAACGGCUGCCUAGCCUACCCCCUAUGGCGGCUUUCUGCGGAAAUACGUUUGUGGAGCCGGGCGAGCAGUGUGACUGUGGCUUCCCGAAUGACUGCGUCGAUCCCUGCUGUGAUUCCUCGACCUGCCAGCUGAGGCCAGGUGCACAGUGUGCAUCUGAUGGACCCUGUUGUCAAAAUUGCCAGCUGCGCCCGUCUGGCUGGCAGUGUCGUCCUACCAGAGGGGAUUGUGACUUGCCUGAAUUCUGCCCAGGAGACAGCUCCCAGUGUCCCCCUGAUGUCAGCCUAGGGGAUGGUGAGCCCUGCGCUGGCGGGCAAGCUGUGUGCAUGCACGGGCGUUGUGCCUCCUAUGCCCAGCAGUGCCAGUCACUUUGGGGACCUGGAGCCCAGCCCGCUGCGCCACUUUGCCUCCAGACAGCUAAUACUCGGGGAAAUGCUUUUGGAAGCUGUGGGCGCAACCCCAGUGGCAGUUAUGUGUCCUGCACCCCUAGAGAUGCCAUUUGUGGGCAGCUCCAGUGCCAGACAGGUAGGACCCAGCCUCUGCUGGGCUCCAUCCGGGAUCUACUCUGGGAGACAAUAGAUGUGAAUGGGACUGAGCUGAACUGCAGCUGGGUGCACCUGGACCUGGGCAGUGAUGUGGCCCAGCCCCUCCUGACUCUGCCUGGCACAGCCUGUGGCCCUGGCCUGGUGUGUAUAGACCAUCGAUGCCAGCGUGUGGAUCUCCUGGGGGCACAGGAAUGUCGAAGCAAAUGCCAUGGACAUGGGGUCUGUGACAGCAACAGGCACUGCUACUGUGAGGAGGGCUGGGCACCCCCUGACUGCACCACUCAGCUCAAAGCAACCAGCUCCCUGACCACAGGGCUGCUCCUCAGCCUCCUGGUGUUAUUGGUCUUGGUGAUGCUUGGUGCCAGCUACUGGUACCGUGCCCGCCUGCACCAGCGACUCUGCCAGCUCAAGGGACCCACCUGCCAGUACAGGGCAGCCCAAUCAGGUCCCCCUGAACGGCCAGGACCUCCGCAGAGGGCCCUGCUGGCGCGAGGCACUAAGGCUAGUGCUCUCAGCUUCCCGGCCCCCCCUUCCAGGCCGCUGCCGCCUGACCCUGUGUCCAAGAGACUCCAGGCUGAGCUGGCUGACCGACCCAAUCCCCCUACCCGCCCUCUGCCCGCUGACCCGGUGGUGAGAAGCCCGAAGUCUCAGGGGCCAGCCAAGCCCCCACCCCCAAGGAAGCCACUGCCUGCCGACCCCCAGGGCCGGUGCCCAUCGGGUGACCUGCCCGGCCCAGGAGCUGGAAUCCCACCCCUAGUGGUACCCUCCAGACCAGCGCCACCGCCUCCGACAGUGUCCUCGCUCUACCUCUGACAUCUCUGGACGUUCCGCUGCCUCCAAGCCGGACUUAGGGCUUCAAGAGGCGGGCGUGCCCUCUGGAGUUCCCUACCAUGACUGAAGGCGCCAGAGACUGUAUGCGGUGUCUUAAGGCUCCGGGCACCGCCACGCGCUGUCAAGCAGCACUCUGCGGACCUGCCGGCGUAGUUGCAGCCGGGGCUUGGGGAGGGGCUGGGGGUUGGACAGGGUUGAGGAAGGUCCGCACAGCCUGUCUCUGCUCAGCUGCAAUAAACGUGACAUCUUGGGAGCGUU
rnacentral:sRNA from 1 species